rnacentral:tRNA from 1 species
AUGCGAAUAGCUCAGUGGUAGAGCAGAAGAUUUGGGUUCUUCCUGUCGCGGGUUCGAAUCCCGCUACGC